GCCUAUCUGGCUCAGUUGGUAGAGCAUGUGACUCUUGAUCUUGGGGUUGUGAGUUCAAGCCUUACUGGGUG
rnacentral:tRNA from 1 species